rnacentral:rRNA from 1 species
UACGUAGGGUGCAGGCGUUAAUCGGAAUUACUGGGCGUAAAGCGUGCGCAGGCGGUCUUUUAAGUCAGAUGUGAAAUCCCCGGGCUCAACCUGGGAACUGCAUUCAAAACUGACAAGCUAGAGUAUGGUAGAGGGUGGUGGAAUUUCCUGUGUAGCGGUGAAAUGCGUAGAUAUAGGAAGGAACACCAGUGGCGAAGGCGACCACCUGGACUGAUACUGACACUGAGGUGCGAAAGCGUGGGGAGCAAACAGG